CCUACGGGUGGCAGCAGUGAGGAAUAUUGGUCAAUGGACGAGAGUCUGAACCAGCCAAGUAGCGUGAAGGAUGACUGCCCUAUGAGUUUUAAACUUCUUUUAUAAAGGAAUAACACUAUGCACAUGUGCCUUUUUUCAUGUACUCUAUGAAUAAGGAUCGUCUAACUCCGUUCCAGCAGCCGCGGUAAUACGGAGGAUCCGAGCGUUAUCCGGCUUUAUUGGGUUUAAAGGUCGCGUAGAUGGGUUGUUACGUCAGUUGUGAAAGUUUGCGGCUCAACCGUAAACUUGCAAUUGAUACUGGCAGUCUUGAGUACAGUGGAGGUAGGCGGAAUUCGUGGUGUAGAGGUGAAAUGCUUAGAUAUCACGAAGAACCCCGAUUGCGAAGGCAGCUUACUAAACUGUGACUGACAUUGAUGCUCGAAAGUGUGGGUAUCAAACAGGAUUAGAUACCCCUGUAGUC
rnacentral:rRNA from 1 species